UGCAAAAUCAACCCACAGGACAUCAAAAUCUGAAGCACUAAAUGAUCAGUAUCGGUGCCAGAAGGAGCACUGACAUGUAAGAAAGGGGAAAACAAAGGUGUGAUCCCCAGGUGUAGCCUACAGAUGACUGAACCCCACAGCUGGCAGCCAGCAAACAACCCCAGGAACUCCCACAGGCUUAGCCAAAGUGUCUGAAGACCACACUUACUCAGCCUACAAACUUCAUGGCUUCAUCCUAGCACAGUCAACGCUUCCUGGGUAUCAAGCUUCAAUUCAAGGAUAUUUCACCAAAGGAGCUGAGCUUGGCUGGAAAAAGAAUUGCACGUCCUGCAGCUUCGCGGGUCAGAUCACUGAUUGGUACGAAUGGCACUUCUCUGUCAGCUCCAGAAACAUCUGUCACCCCAGGAUGUGCUCCCCUGCUGGGCUGCAGCUUAUGAGGCCAGCAACAGAGCAAGUGGGAAGACCUUUUAACAUUCUGUAUAAAGCUGGGAGCAAACUGAGCACACGAGAACCAAAAAUCUCCAAUGGGGCAAAGAUUUUCGGACGUGUUUAAGUGGCAUUGUAUGUGCUGUGGUUCAUUUUUGCUCUUAAUACUUUGAUACAGCUGUAAUGUUUCUUUCAACUCCCAAAGACAAAUUACAGCAUAUAAAAGACCAUGAGGUUACGCUUUGGUUCUGAGAUAGUCAUAUUAAUAUAUUAUGAAGGCAUUGUAACAAGUAUUAGUAUUUUCGUGAAUCACCAUCUAAGGUCAGUAGAAAAUAUGUAUAAUUUGCAAAUUCGUUUUAGAUACAAUGUAAGAAAGUAAGUAGGGUGGGGUAAUUACAGGGCUUGCUGAUGCUGGAGACAAGCUGCAGAGAGACAUUGCUCAGCUUGCCUAUCAGAGCAGGCCCUGAGGAAGCAGGUGAGGAGGAAGGUUAUAAACAGUGGGAGCAGGGCAUUAGGAAGCCCUGAGAGUUCUCUGGUCCAGAGGAGCAUUUUGUGAGGUCUUGUUCCAGAGCUGUUUUCCCUAGGGGGACCACGGACACAAUAAAUAGUACAGUAUUUUUAGCUGCAAACUAAAAUGAUGCAGUUCUGUGAAAUUUAGCUCUAAGUGCUUAUUCCCGCACUCUUAAACCUUACUGAAUAGACAGAUGAGGACGAAAAAGUGCAACCUGUAGCAUCACAUCCUGCCUGUCCCGUCGUGAAUGACCAACCCCCUCAGUACAAAAUGCAGUCGUGUUUGUCUCUUCCACCUUGAAUCUACCGGAUUACUUUAAAGCAGCUUACAACGGCUUGUUCUGACCCUUCUAAGGCCAACUACCACAGUUCUAAUACCUCGGCUCUGUUUCCAGUCUGGUUCAUAGUUGAGUGGUAUGAAGAGCAGUCCGUAGACAAACUGCAAAUAAAUGCCUCUGUCCACUGAGCGGUGACCUUGCUAAAUUACAGCAGGUAUCCUGAACAUCUGUGCCGCAGCCUUCUCUUACUGCAGUAUGAUAGGAACAUGCAUUAACUCUGGAGGAUUGAUCUCAAAAAACUGGCACAGAAAGGGCACUUCAAUGAGAAAAUUAAUAAUUCUUUACUCUGAUUAUGAUGAUUAAUUCUGUUACGUCAGCAGCCUUUGGCAGAGCCAAUGACAGCAACAGAUUUCAUACGGGGAAAAAACCUAAUUCAGGAGCCAAGAACAUUAAAAUGGAAUUUUGUGCAGUUAAGCAAUGAUAUUAACAAAUUGCACACAAGCAGCAAUAAUUUAAAUAUGUUCAGAAAGGCACUUUUGUUUCUUGGUCCUAUAUAAGACAUUGCAGUCAUGUAAGAUUAUUUUGUAUUUGAUAUAUUUGCCAAGCUAAAAAGUGAUUGUUUCUGGAACUGACCACUGGCAGAUGGACUCAACUGUGGAAGUUUUUGGACCACAUGAAGCUGAUCACAAACUCUAUCUCAGGUGCCAGUUUCACAAACUGGUUACCACUGCUGGACUAGCAAGCGCCCUGUUUCCAUCUCUUCAACUUUGGUUACGCAGCCAAGACUAAUCAAGCCCCCUGUCAGGUACAGAAUACAAGACGGGCAGGUCUUUGCUAGUAUAUAAACCUAGCUGUCAUUUUUCUGAAGAGGAGCUGGCUUUUAGGCACUGUAUUUGCUGGUUUCCUCUCAGCUUCUGAAGGCAAGCACUUAAAAAGCAGUGAUCUGUUGCUCCCUCCCUAACGCAGUUUGUAUUCUUUCAGUUGUCAUAAACAAGUUGCCUUGUUUGUCAGUUUGUUUUUCUUUCGAAUGCACUCCAACUCACGUCUUUUAUGCAUUCAGUGUGAGGGCCAGAUUCCUCAGUACUGCUUUGUUAGGAAACACUCAUUUGGCAAUCCUAACAUUAAAAAUUAUCCUCAGUAGGAUAUGCUCUAUCAAGCCAUGACCUUAGCUGUUUGAGUGAGAAACAACAGAAAAAGUUUAAGAGAUCAUUCUGUUGUUGGUUCAGAUGUUUGACAGAUUGCAAGGACUAGUUCCUUUGCACUCAAGCAUGGCAUUUAGGAAACUGGAGUAAUGCUUUAGAUAGCUGCCUUUUUAUCUUCUCGAUCUGUCUGCUGUUCAAGUCACUAUCUUCUCAGUGUUCCCCUGCAGGAGGAAACUAAAAGUGAGUACGCUGACUUAGAAUCAUUUUAAACACUUGUGCAAGCAUUGCCACCUCAGCUCAGGCAUGCCGAUGACUUGUCUUGUACAUCUGCACCGAACCACAGACACUUGUGUUUUCAGCUUAUCAAUUCAUACAUAGGGUUUGUUUCCCAUUUCUUUCAUACUAUGUGCAAGAAAGUGAGCUGAAUGCUACGCACUGAAUAAAGCAGUCUCCUUUUGAUCUAAUGAGAAAUUGUGCAGACUUUAAAUGGCACCAACACUCAUGUUGCAGUAAAACUUUUGAUUAUCUGGGGAGCGCUUGUAAUGAUUUCAAAUUAACCCCACUGAUUUCUUUCUUGUACUAAAAACUACCAGAAAGAU